AGAGUCAAUGCUAGAUGACAGCUUUUAAAUUAGAACUUGUCAGCAAUUGGCUGACCAAUCAGCCAGCCUGGAUAAAAUCAGGCCAGGUGCCCACAAAAGGAGGAGCUUCUACUUUUCCAAGCUAGAUGUCAGGCGUCGUCUCCAAGAGAUCUAGGAGAAGGUAACAGUACAACCAGGUGAAUGAGGACGGGAUUUUGGAAGAUGUCUCUCUGGUGUUGUGGGCCUGACAGCAGAAAAGCCUCAAACAGUAUACAAAGGAUAUUUCAAUCACAGCACCCCAGCUGAAAGGGUUCUUCACCUGAAGUCAAGAAGACUACAGAAGUCUUAGUAAUUUGAAUGGGAUGGAUUUAAACACAUGUUCAUUUUUUAUCCCAUCUGUGAGAACAAUGGAACUUCUAAGUGACUCUCAAAUAUAUGAAAUCUCAAAUACCAGAAUAAGACCUUCAGUGUUCCCUUCUGUUUUUAGAUUUGGUUUAAUAUUUUCAAGUAAAAGAUCUCAAGGAAUAAACUGAAAAACUUUAAGCUAA